rnacentral:rRNA from 1 species
GUAGGGAAUAUUGGACAAUGGGGGCAACCCUGAUCCAGCGACGCCGCGUGAGUGAUGAAGGCCUUCGGGUCGUAAAGCUCUGUUGCAGGGGAAGAACACAAUGACGGUACCCUGCUAGAAAGGAUCGGCUAACUUCGUGCCAGCAGCCGCGGUAAGACGAGGGAUCCUAGCGUUGUUCGGAAUUAUUGGGCGUAAAGCGGGUGCAGGUGGCUUGGUAAGUCAGAUGUGAAAGCCUGGGGCUUAACCGCAGAAGUGCAUUUGAUACUGCUGAGCUUGAGUGCUGGAGAGGCUAUUAGAAUUCCUGGUGUAGUGGUGAAAUACGUAGAUAUCAGGAGGAAUACCGGAGGCGAAGGCGGAUAGCUGGCCAGACACUGACACUCAGACCCGAAAGCGUGGGGAUCAAACAGGAUUAGAAACCCGGGUAGUCC